UACGUAGGGUGCGAGCGUUAAUCGGAAUUACUGGGCGUAAAGCGUGCGCAGGCGGUUUUGUAAGCCAGAUGUGAAAGCCCCGGGCUCAACCUGGGAAUGGCAUUUGGGACUGCAAGGCUUGAGUGUGUCAGAGGGAGGUAGAAUUCCACGUGUAGCAGUGAAAUGCGUAGAUAUGUGGAGGAAUACCGAUGGCGAAGGCG
rnacentral:rRNA from 1 species